rnacentral:rRNA from 1 species
UGCAAGUCGAGCGGAUGAAUGGAGCUUGGUUCCCGAUUCUUCGGCGGAUGGGUGAGUAAUGCCCAUGAAUCUUCUGGGUAUUGGGGGACAACGUUCCUUUGAGACCGCACCUAAUACCGUUAUCCUUCUUUACACAGUGGGGAAUCUACGGACCUCCCGCUUUCACAUGCACCUAGGUAUGAUUCCCUGGCGCAUUGGGUAAUGGCUCACCUAAGGCACCAUCCGUACCAGGACUCAUAGCCUGACGGAACUGUGGAUCACUGACACUGGGUCUGAUAGCCUACCCAAAGUCCCACUGGAGAAUAUUGUACUGAAUCCUAAUCCCUGAUCCACACGCGCCGCGAGUGUGAACAAGGGAAUCAGAUUGGACCUCAAGUCGUAUUGGUAGGAAGGUCAGUAAGUUAAUACCUUGCUGUUUUGACUUUUCCCAUGAAAUAACCUCCGGCUAAAUUCAGGCCUAACUCCGCGGUAAUACUAACGGUGAUAGCGUUGUUCUUAAUUACUGGGGGUAUUAUUGGCGUUUAUGGUUUGGUAACAUGGAUGUUAAAUCCCAGGGAUCGCCCUGGGAUCUGCAUUGCUAAUUGCCUGAUAAGAGGACGGACAAGGGUGAUGUAAUGUAACGGGUAUUUGCUGAGUGAUUACAUGAAGUACCGAUUGCUAAAGGAACAUGCUACUACUUGGCUGGUUCCUGAGCUGGAAAUGUAGCAGAGCGAAGAGGACUUGAGACUCAAUAAGUUGUAGGUCCAAGGACUGAACACUACCUAUUGGAGGAAGGUUUACUGGUAAAGAGACAGGGACAUAUAUCGCUCCAGCUAAGACCUAAGGCGAGUACGACGAUCAGAGGAAUUGACAGCUGGACUCUCAUGGAUUGACGCGUGCUUUAACUCGAUGAUAGCAUAGAACUUACCUGGCCUUGACAUGUCCGGAAUACUGCAGAGAUGCGGGAGUGCCUUCGGGAAUCGGAACACAGGUGCUGCAUGGCUGUCGUCAGCUCGUGUCGUGAGAUGUUGGGUUAAGUCCCGUAACGAGCGCAACCCUUGUCCUUAGUUACCAGCACCUUAAGGUGGGCACUCUAAGGAGACUGCCGGUGACAAACCGGAGGAAGGUGGGGAUGACGUCAAGUCAUCAUGGCCCUUACGGCCAGGGCUACACACGUGCUACAAUGGUCGGUACAGAGGGUUGCCAAGCCGCGAGGUGGAGCUAAUCCCAGAAAACCGAUCGUAGUCCGGAUCGCAGUCUGCAACUCGACUGCGUGAAGUCGGAAUCGCUAGUAAUCGUGAAUCAGAAUGUCACGGUGAAUACGUUCCCGGGCCUUGUACACACCGCCCGUCACACCAUGGGAGUGGGUUGCUCCAGAAGUAGCUAGUCUAACCGCAAGGGGGACGGUU